rfam:Macrostomum lignano uti_cns_0003037, whole genome shotgun sequence.
AAAACGGCCCUUUUCAGGGCCAUGAUUUCUUAUAGUCGACUCUUG